rnacentral:rRNA from 1 species
GAUCAUGGCUCAGAUUGAACGCUGGCGGCAUGCCUUACACAUGCAAGUCGAACGGCAGCACGGGUGCUUGCACCUGGUGGCGAGUGGCGAACGGGUGAGUAAUACAUCGGAACGUACCUUAUCGUGGGGGAUAACGUAGCGAAAGUUACGCUAAUACCGCAUACGAUCUAAGGAUGAAAGGGGGGGGAUCGCAAGACCUCUCGCUAUUGGAGCGGCCGAUGUCAGAUUAGGUAGUUGGUGGGGUAAAGGCCUACCAAGCCGACGAUCUGUAGCUGGUCUGAGAGGACGACCAGCCACACUGGGACUGAGACACGGCCCAGACUCCUACGGGAGGCAGCAGUGGGGAAUUUUGGACAAUGGGCGCAAGCCUGAUCCAGCCAUGCCGCGUGCGGGAAGAAGGCCUUCGGGUUGUAAACCGCUUUUGUACGGAGCGAAAAGGCCCUCUCUAAUACAGGGGGUUCAUGACGGUACCGUAAGAAUAAGCACCGGCUAACUACGUG